rnacentral:rRNA from 1 species
GCAGGUGGCAAGCGUUGUCCGGAAUUAUUGGGCGUAAAGCGCGCGCAGGCGGGUUCUUUAAGUCUGAUGUGAAAGCCCACGGCUCAACCGUGGAGGGUCAUUGGAAACUGGAGAACUUGAGUACAGAAGAGGAAAGCGGAAUUCCACGUGUAGCGGUGAAAUGCGUAGAGAUGUGGAGGAACACCAGUGGCGAAGGCGGCUUUCUGGUCUGUAACUGACGCUGAGGCGCGAAAGCGUGGGGGAGCAAACAGGAUUAGAUACCCUGGUAGUCCACGCCGUAAACGAUGAGUGCUAAGUGUUAGGGGGUUUCCGCCCCUUAGUGCUGCAGCUAACGCAUUAAGCACUCCGCCUGGGAGUACGGCCGCAAGGCUG